GACCUCAAAUCAGGUAGGACUACCCGCUGAACUUAAGCAUAUCAAUAAGCGGAGGAAAAGAAACUAACAAGGAUUCCCCUAGUAACUGCGAGUGAAGCGGGAAAAGCUCAAAUUUGAAAUCUGGCAGUUCUUUUGACUGUCCGAGUUGUAAUCUAGAGAAGUGUUACCUGUGCUGGACCAUGUACAAGUCUUCUGGAAUGGAGCAUCAUAGAGGGUGAGAAUCCCGUCUUUGACAUGGACUACCAGUGCACUGUGGUGCGCUCUCAAAGAGUCGAGUUGUUUGGGAAUGCAGCUCAAAAUGGGUGGUAAAUGCCAUCUAAAGCUAAAUAUUGGCGAGAGACCGAUAGCGAACAAGUACCGUGAGGGAAAGAUGAAAAGAACUUUGGAAAGAGAGUUAAACAGUACGUGAAAUUGCUGAAAGGGAAACGCUUGAAGUCAG
rnacentral:rRNA from 1 species